CUUAGUCCUGAGGGCAAAGAGUUUCUGAUGACACAAUCAGAUUUCUGCUUUAGCUGCUACGUGGAUGGUGAUUAAAGCGGGCGGGACUGGCGGCGGAAAAGAGAAGCUAGCAUUGCGGCAGGAGCUGGGGAAGAGACGUUGGUGACUAGAGCAGUACGGGGGCAGUGGGAAUGGAAAAACUUACUUCGAUUUGAGGGUGGCUGAGCAAUAGGAACAAUAGAGCUUGGAGAUGAACUGUAUGUUGGGGAGCUAAGUGUGGAGUCCAGAAGGGUGCAGGGGAGCUGGCUAGAUGCAACACAGAGCUCUCCGGCCUUCACGCCGAGGACCAGGGAUGAGGAGGGGGUUCAGAGGCCCAAAGUGAAGCAAUCUCUUUUGGUCUGUCUGUCUUAGGUCAAUGCUGCCAGACUGCAGCCAGUGUUACUGGACACUGAAUGGGGAGAUGGGGCAAGAAAGUAGGGCCCCCCCCCCUUUUCUAUUAAAUUAAAAAUGUGCGAGCAGGGGAGGGGCAGAGAGAGAGGGAGACACGGAAUCCAAAGCAGGCUCCAAGCUGUCAGCACAGAGCUGAACACAGGGCUGGAACUCAUAAGCCAUGAGAGAUCAUGAGCUGAGCAAAAGUCAGACGCUUAACUGCUUCACUGACUGAGCCACCCAGGUACCCCAGUAGGGGCCCUUCCUUGAAGGGGAUAACAAUGAGCAAGAUUUUUCCAACAUUUGUGCUUGAUGUGCAAGAAUGUGCAGGUUAAAUCUCCCUAGCUCCUAGAAGUUUCCAGCUACUAACUCCAGUCCCCUUCAAGAAUCUCCGUUAGAGUCUUCAUCUAACAGCAGCGGAUAAAACUGAGAUUCUGUCGUCUUCAAAACUUCAGGCCAGCGGUCACUGAGCACCUGUCUGUGCCAGGCUCCCGAGAGACAAAGAGGAGCCCGAAGCAGGAUAGAAAAAUCUCUCCUGAAAUUCACUGUGCUUGGUGUAUAAUCUGCCAGCCCCCUCCUUCCCUCCCUCUCCUGCCCCCUACCAGCAUCUUGUCGCUCUUCUUCUUAAUAGUUUUUGAAAAGUUAACAGAGUGAAAAAAGCAAGGUUUAGGCACACAUUAUAAAGAGAGCAUAUAAAUAUACAUCCUGCAGCUUCAGCAACUUGGGUUUGUAUCAAUUUUCUCCAAGUCAGGGAAAGUGAAAAAAACCAAAAACAAAACAGAGAGGCAUUUUUCAGGACAGCCUCGGCCCCAUUUUGAGAAUCGCGUCCCUGACUCAGGAGUUAAGAGCCAAGACUACCGAUUUAUUGUAAUAGUAAUGAACCUGUAAGGGUGGAGCUUUUUUGGCAUUUGUUGCUUAGGGUCACCAUCUUUUUCAGUCUCGAUCUUUUUCGACGCCUGGCCAGCAAAAGUAGAAACUACUUCAGGUAUGUUGGACCUGCCCAAAUCAACAGUAGGUUCCUCGAGACAGAGACUGUCCGUUCUAUCUUGUUUUUCCCGAACUGCUUUGUAGUGCUGUACAUGUAGUACUUGCUUAAUAAACACUUGCUGAAAUGAAAA